rnacentral:lncRNA from 1 species
GCCUGAUAUAACAUAGUAAUACAAAUAUUAAACAUAUUUAAUGUCAGCCAGCCUUCAUAGGCUUAUGAUGCACUGUACUUCUAAAAUUCCCAUAGUUAUCUGUUAUAAUUAUCAAAUAUCAAUUUAAAUGUACAAUAAAUAAGUAGAUAAUUUUUUCUCAUUAAUGUUUGUGUUCUAAUAUCAGAAAUGUUAGUGAUAAAUUUUGACACUAUAUAUAUAUAUAUGUGGUCACUACCCAGUCCUCAUUAACUAAAAACCUGUGCAAUUUACUUUUAUACUGACCGCCAAAUAGCUAUACAACUUGUACAAAAUCCCCAUUAUAAAAUUAAUGCGCAAUCUUCAAAUUCAUUUCGCAUACUGCACAUUUAAUUCAUAUAUUUAAGUUUGGGCUUUUGUUAUAUAAAUUUUACUUCAGGCUGAUUUCUCUUUCAUUUUAUCAAGUUAAUUGGAUAAAUGUAUGUUGUUAUGUGACAAUAAAAUGUGUAAUCUUAUAAGCAAAGCAGGAUUGGAUUCUUAUUCUGUAUGAUAAAAUUACUUUUGAAAAAAAUACAGCCAUUUUUAUUUUGAUAUAGAUAGAUAAUUGGACAAUAUUUUUCUAAUAUACAGGAUAGUACACAGUGAGUAUGAAUUUGUUUUCCAUCUUACCAACAGCCAUUAAAAAAGUCCAAGGAUUCCACUAUAUUUCAGUAUAUAAAAUGCAGUUAUAAUUUAUGUUAAACACAGAAAGAUUUUAAAGAUAGAUAAAUGGGACAAUGGUUUUCUAAUAUACAGGGUACUUUGCAGAUUCUAUUAAUUUGUGUUCCAUCUUGCCAAAAGGUGACAAUAAUUUUGUUUGAAAUGUUUUAUAAUACAUACAUAACUCUUGAUAAUUAUCAGAUGUUGUGUUUAACAAAGAUGUCUCACAGGUCCACACAUUUAAAACUAUAAGGCAGCUACUUUAUAUUGUUCUAUUUGUC